rnacentral:misc_RNA from 1 species
AAGUCGUAACAAGGUUUCCGUAGGUGAACCUGCGGAAGGAUCAUUAUCGUAUGGGGCUCUGCCCCUAAAGGAUGUAGGCCAGCCAGAUUGGAGCCCGUUUGGCCCCCAGACGUUUGCCUAACUAGGGUGUUUCUCUCACCAGACGUGGUGGUAGUCAACCCUAUGUUAGGCUGCUUUUUGGAGCAAACGAGGCUUCCUGAAUGACUGGUACACAGUUCACCCCUGUCUAUGAGUACUACUGUUUCCUCGGCAAGCCUGCUUGCCAAUGAGGACCCAUCAACCCUUUUUAUGUUAUUGUAACCGUAAUAAACAAAUAAUCAAAACUUUCAACAACGGAUCUCUUGGUUCUG